GAUGAACGCUGGCGGCGUGCCUAAUACAUGCAAGUCGAGCGAACGGACGAGAAGCUUGCUUUUCUGAUGUUAGCAGCGGACGGGUGAGUAACACGUGGAUAACCUACCUAUAAGACUGGGAUAACUUCGGGAAACCGGAGCUAAUACCGGAUAAUAUUUUGAACCGCAUGGUUCAAAAGUGAAAGACGGCCUUGCUGUCACUUAUAGAUGGAUCCGCGCUGCAUUAGCUAGUUGGUAAGGUAACGGCUUACCAAGGCAACGAUGCAUAGCCGACCUGAGAGGGUGAUCGGCCACACUGGAACUGAGACACGGUCCAGACUCCUACGGGAGGCAGCAGUAGGGAAUCUUCCGCAAUGGGCGAAAGCCUGACGGAGCAACGCCGCGUGAGUGAUGAAGGUCUUCGGAUCGUAAAACUCUGUUAUUAGGGAAGAACAUAUGUGUAAGUAACUGUGCACAUCUUGACGGUACCUAAUCAGAAAGCCACGGCUAACUACGUG
rnacentral:rRNA from 1 species